UCAGCAUCACUGUCACUUCCUGGAGAAAAGCUCGACAGACACAGGGGCAACACACAGCAGCAACAGAAAAUGAUCCUCCAUCACACGAGAGCAGUAACUGAGCCGUGUUCAGCGUUCAUCCUCAGACAGUCUGACAGUAAAAAGUCCUCCAGCUUUCAACACUGUGACGACUAGUUUCCCCUUUUCAGGAAAGUUGGGAUACUUUCCAAAAUGCAAUAAAAAGAAAGAUCUGAGAUUUGUAAAUUCACAUGAACCUUUAGUUUCAACACUUUUACUGACCAGGGUAAUUGUAUUUUGAAAAAAUAAAAACAAAUUUCAUGCAUGCAA